rnacentral:rRNA from 1 species
UGGGGAAUUUUGGACAAUGGGGGCAACCCUGAACCAGCCAUGCCGCGUGCAGGAUGAAGGCCCUAUGGGUCGUAAACUGCUUUUAUACCGGAGAAAACCCGAGUACGUGUACUCGGUUGAUAGUAUGGUAAGAAUAAGCAUCGGCUAACUUCGUGCCAGCAGCCGCGGUAAGACGAAGGAUGCAAGCGUUAUCCGGAUUCAUUGGGUUUAAAGGGUGCGUAGGCGGACUUGUAAGUCAGUGGUGAAAUCUCUUUGCUUAACAAAGAAACUGCCAUUGAUACUGCAGGUCUAGAGUAUAGAUGACGUUGGCGGAAUAUGACAUGUAGUGGUGAAAUACUUAGAUAUGUCAUAGAACACCGAUUGCGAAGGCAGCUAACGAAACUAUAACUGACGCUGAGGGACGAAAGCAAGGGGAGCAAACAGGAUUAGAUACCCAGGUAGUCCCUGAGCGGGCUGGCAAGGCGCAU